CUCGACUGUGGGCAGAGAUUCGUUCGCUUUCUUGGCAGCUUUGGAUCGCGACGACUCGUAUAUAGAUCGAGGGAGUAUCACUGCUGGAGAGGCUUUAUUCUUCCCUGACUGCCUUAAAUGAAAGAAACCAACGGAUCUUUGCAGGAAGUAAUUCUAUUGAAUUCAGAUAGAGCACGACAUCUCGAGACGAAGGACAGAGGAAUGGUUUCUCGAGGUCAAGGUCAUCUUGGAGGCUUUAUCGUACAACACAAUUGAUGAAGGAGAAAUGUGUCAAUCUCUGUUCUUCGCGUUAUUCGUUGCGAAUAAAAAUGCAAGACGAAGAGACGGAACGAUUCAAGCAUACGUAACCUAAC